rnacentral:rRNA from 1 species
UACGUAGGGGGCAAGCGGUUGUCCGGAUUUAUUGGGCGUAAAGAGCGUGUAGGCGGCCGUACAGGUCAGCUGUGAAAACUCGGAGGCUCAACCUCGAGACGUCGGUUGAAACCGUACGGCUAGAGUCCGGAAGAGGAGAGUGGAAUUCCCGGUGUGAGCGGUGAAAUGCGCAGAUAUCAGGAGGAACACCUGUGGUGUACGACGCUUUCUGGACCAUAGCUGACGCUGAGACGACGAAAGCGUGGGUAGCAAACAGG